rnacentral:rRNA from 1 species
UACGUAGGGCGCAAGCGUUAUCCGGAAUUAUUGGGCGUAAAGAGCUCGUAGGCGGUGUGUCGCGUCGGCCGUGAAAACCUGCAGCUUAACUGUGGGCUUGCGGUCGAUACGGGCAUCACUGGAGUUCGGCAGGGGAGACUGGAAUUCCUGGUGUAGCGGUGAAAUGCGCAGAUAUCAGGAGGAACACCGGUGGCGAAGGCGGGUCUCUGGGCCGUAACUGACGCUGAGGAGCGAAAGCGUGGGGAGCAAACAGG